rnacentral:rRNA from 1 species
AGUGGCGCACGGGUGCGUAACGCGUAUACACCUACCUUAUACAGGGGUAUAGCCCAGGGAAACUUGGAUUAACACCCCAUAGUUUGGCAUCAUUAAAACUACGGUGGUAUAACAUGGGUAUGCGUCCCACUACCUUGUUGGUGUGGUAACGGCACACCAAGGCAACGAUGGGUAGGGGCCCUGAGAGGGGGAUCCCCCACACUGGUACUGAGACACGGACCAGACUCCUACGGGAGGCAGCAGUGAGGAAUAUUGGACAAUGGGCGGGAGCCUGAUCCAGCCAUGCCGCGUGCAGGAAGACUGCCUAUGGGUUGUAAACUGCUUUUAUACGGGAAGAAACCCACCUACGUGUAGGUGGCUGACGGUACCGUAAGAAUAAGGACCGGCUAACUCCGUGCCAGCAGCCGCGGUAAUACGGAGGGUCCGAGCGUUAUCCGGAAUCAUUGGGUUUAAAGGGUCCGCAGGCGGCCAGAUAAGUCAGUGGUGAAAUUCCGUGGCUCAACCACGGAACUGCCAUUGAUACUGUUUGGCUUGAAUCAGUUCGAGGAUGCCGGAAUGUGUGGUGUAGCGGUGAAAUGCAUAGAUAUCACACAGAACACCAUUUGCGAACGCAGGUGUCAAGACUGUUAUUGACGCUGAUGGACGAAGCGUGGCUAGCGAACAGAUUUAGUACCUUGGUAGUUC